rnacentral:tRNA from 1 species
GAGGGAAUAGCUGAAGUGGUAGAGUACAUGCUUAGCAUGUAUGAGAUCCUGGGUUCAAUUCCCAGUACUUCCU